rnacentral:rRNA from 1 species
UACGGGGGGGGCAAGCGUUGUUCGGAAUUACUGGGCGUAAAGGGCGCGUAGGCGGCUCGCUAAGUCGGAUGUGAAAACUCUGGGCUCAACCCAGAGCCUGCAUUCGAAACUGACGAGCUGGAGUUCUGAAGGGGAAAGCGGAAUUCCUGGUGUAGCGGUGAAAUGCGUAGAUAUCAGGAGGAACACCGGUGGCGAAGGCGGCGACCUGGUCCGAUACUGACGCUGAGGCGCGAAAGCGUGGGGAGCAAACAGG